rnacentral:rRNA from 1 species
AGUGAACGCUGGCGGCGUGCCUAAUACAUGCAAGUCGAACGGAGAUUAAGUAGCUUGCUAUUUAAUCUUAGUGGCGCACGGGUGAGUAAUAUAUAGCUAAUCUGCCCUACACUAGAGGACAACAGUUGGAAACGACUGCUAAUACUCUAUACUCCUUCUAAGCAUAAGCUUAGUCGGGAAAGUUUUUCGGUGUAGGAUGAGGCUAUAUCGUAUCAGCUAGUUGGUAAGGUAACGGCCUACCAAGGCUAUGACGCGUAACUGGUCUGAGAGGAUGAUCAGUCACACUGGAACUGAGACACGGUCCAGACUCCUACGGGAGGCAGCAGUAGGGAAUAUUGCUCAAUGGGGGAAACCCUGAAGCAGCAACGCCGCGUGGAGGAUGACACUUUUCGGAGCGUAAACUCCUUUUCUUGGGAAAGAAUUAUGACGGUACCCAAGGAAUAAGCACCGGCUAACUCCGUGCCAGCAGCCGCGGUAAUACGGAGGGUGCAAGCGUUACUCGGAAUCACUGGGCGUAAAGGACGCGUAGGCGGAUUAUCAAGUCUCUUGUGAAAUCUAACGGCUUAACCGUUAAACUGCUUGGGAAACUGAUAAUCUAGAGUAAGGGAGAGGCAGAUGGAAUUCUUGGUGUAGGGGUAAAAUCCGUAGAGAUCAAGAAGAAUACCCAUUGCGAAAGCGAUCUGCUGGAACUUAACUGACGCUAAUGCGUGAAAGCGUGGGGAGCAAACAGGAUUAGAUACCCUGGUAGUCCACGCCCUAAACGAUGUAUACUAGCUGUUGCUUCGCUAGUCGAGGCAGUAAUGCACCUAACGGAUUAAGUAUACCGCCUGGGGAGUACGGUCGCAAGAUUAAAACUCAAAGGAAUAGACGGGGGACCCGCACAAGCGGUGGAGCAUGUGGUUUAAUUCGAAGAUACGCGAAGAACCUUACCCGGACUUGAUAUCUAACAAAUCAUCCAGAGAUGGAAGAGUGUCUGCUUGCAGAAAUGUUAAGACAGGUGCUGCACGGCUGUCGUCAGCUCGUGUCGUGAGAUGUUGGGUUAAGUCCCGCAACGAGCGCAACCCACGUAUUUAGUUGCUAACGGUUAGGCCGAGCACUCUAAAUAGACUGCCUUCGUAAGGAGGAGGAAGGUGUGGACGACGUCAAGUCAUCAUGGCCCUUAUGUCCGGGGCGACACACGUGCUACAAUGGCGUAUACAAUGAGACGCAAUAUCGCGAGAUGGAGCAAAUCUAUAAAAUACGUCCCAGUUCGGAUUGGAGUCUGCAACUCGACUCCAUGAAGCCGGAAUCGCUAGUAAUCGUAGAUCAGCCAUGCUACGGUGAAUACGUUCCCGGGUCUUGUACUCACCGCCCGUCACACCAUGGGAGUUGAUUUCACUCGAAGCCCAAAUACCAAAUCGGUUAUGGUCCACAGUGGAAUCAGCGACUGGGGUG